GGUCACCGCGCUCCAAGCCUGAGAAGCCAUCGGGAUGACGGGAUGAACCGCUGACUGGGCGCGGCGUCCCCACCGGGCUAGGCAAGAGCUCCAUGCGGUGACAACGCGCGGGGACCAGGAGCCCGCGGUGCCCUGUAACCCCGAGAAGUGCCCGGCGAGCGCAGAGCCCGGUGGAGCAUAGCUGGGAGGAAUAGGGAUGGACGAGGGCGGACGGAAGAACAAACCCUCAAACUAUGCUGGGAUUCGGGCACGGGCUGCUUGCUCAAAAAGAGCCCGACCACGAAGGAAUCCUCAAUCUUACGAUCUGACGUCAGACGCCUCAUCCCUUAGGCCACGCGGUCACAAUUCCCAGGGAGGCUCAGAGACUAGUCCAGGUGCCGCUCCGCUCGGGGGUGACUACGCGGGCGGCUGGGGCCAGAGGAAGGGUGAGCGCUUCGCUCAAUAGGCAGCCAGGGUGCGAGCAGCGAAGCUGCGCCACGCCGGAGCGUUUAAUGAACAUCAAAUUGGUCUCCCGGGUAGGAAAUUGCAGAAGGAGACCGCGUGGCCUAAUGGAUAAGGCGUCUGACUUCGGAUCAGAAGAUUGAGGGUUCGAGUCCCUUCGUGGUCGGAACGUUUUAAUCUCAGCAACUAUAAUCUCCGUCUCUUGUUUUAGACCCAGAAACGCCUCCCAAUCCAUCCACACCGCGGCUCUGGAGAGCUACUUCAGUCCAAUCAGGCUUUGCAUCCCGGGACGCUUCCGGUUAUUGCGUCAUUACGCAGCCUGUGGCGUCUCCGUCUAAGAGACAUGAUCGGGCACCUUCGGCUGGAGCCUCCAGUGGCCUAAUGGAUAAGACAUUGCCUUCCUUAAGGCUGGGACUUUGGGUUCGAGUCAUAUUUGUGGUGGCGUGGCCUAGCUGCUGGGAGCUGUAUUCUUGAGAUCCACUUUAAUAAAAAUGAAGCCUGACUACUUUGAAAGGCAAACCGAUGUGAGGGGCCAUCCGGAAUUCCUCCUGUUCUCUCGACCCAAGACCAGUCACCAAGUUGAAUGGACACUACUUUUAAGCUUGCUCUGGCUUCCAAGCCCUGGCAUGUGGUGGUAGCAGCGUGUCUCUAGCCUGGACACUAGAGCCAUCGCUGCUUUUCUGGGCUUCAAGCUUCGGUUCCCCACAAACCACCCUCCAGGCCCUGCCUCUAUGGGACUUACACUGUAGUGAGAGAGAAGGACAGUGAACAAACUAAUAAACAAGAUGAUUUCAAAGGAAAGAGGGUGAUGGGAAACUAUUGAGUAGUGAGAGAGGAACAUUUGAGGAGGGGCAUUUGGUCCAGCCCUAAAUUAUGGGAAGGGGCCAACCACGUAAAAAGAUCAUAUAAAGGCCGGGCACGGUGGCUCACACCUGUAAUCCCAGCACUUUGGGAGGCCGAGGCGGGUGGAUCACGAGGUCAGGAGAUCGAGAUCAUCCUGGCUAACACGGUGAAACCCCAUCUGUACUAAAAAUACAGAAAAAUUAGCCAGGCGUGGUGGCGGGUGCCUGUAGUCCCAGCUACUCAGGAGACGGAGGCAGGAGAAUGGCGUGAACCUGGGAGGCGGAGCUUGCAGUGAGCCGAGAUCACGACACUACACUCCAGACUGGGCAACAGAGCGAGACUCCGUCUCAAAAACAAACAAACAAAAAAUCAUAUAAAAAGAAGAGGCUUCUGGGCAGAAAACAGCAAAAGCAUCACUGACAAUCCUGUCACCUUCGGAAGACAUCUUCGGAGGCUAAUACACUGCCUACCUCCUAGGGUGAGGAGUUAAUAAACUAAUAUCUCUGCAGUGAUUAGAACAAUGCCUAGAAUGUGGUAUUAAAGUCACGAUCAUCAGCAUUUAUUAAUAUACUAAUUUGCCUGGGUAUUCAAGAUUUAUGUGUGAUAUUCUCCUAGCUAAAUGUGCCCCUAAAGGCUCACAUUUCAUCUUACAGUUCUUUCUUUUCUUUGAGACAGACUCUCACUUCAUCGCCCAGGCUGGAGCACAGUGGCAAGAGCUCAGCUCACUGAAACCUCCACCUCCCAGGUUCAAGCAAUUCUCGUGCCUCAGCCUCCCACAUAGCUGGGAUUACAGGUGCCUACCACCACACUCCGCUAAUUUUUGUAUUUUUAGUAGAGAUGGGGUUUCACCAUGUUGACCAGCCUGGUUUUGAACUCCUGAGCUCCAGCCAUCAGCCCACAUGGGCCUCCCAAAAUGCUGGGAUUACAGAUGUGAACCACCAUGGCCGGCCUCUUCUCUUUUAUUCAUAAUAAGUUCAUAUUAAAAUUAUUCUAAGUGUCAAGUA